ACCAGGCAUGUGCCCUGACCGGGAAUCAAACCACUGACUCUUUGGUGCAUGGGUUGAUGCUCAACCACUGAGCCACACCCGUUGGGCUCAAGUUCAAGUUUUUAUCAAUAAAAUACAUGGGCGAUGUUAUGUAGUUCCAUCGCCAGGCACACAUGUCAGCCCGCCUCCCUUUGGGGCCGUUGGCGGACAGUAACCUGACAGUUCCAGUGAGGCCUGGGCCUGUUACUCAUCAGGGGCGGAAAGGCGUUGCUAUUCAGCUCUACGUGUCCUUCCUCAGGCUCUGUUUCCUGGAAGAGACGAGUCAAGAAGCAGUCGUCCAGGUUUGGAUGAGGUCAUGGGGGAGGAGGGGGCAAUGCAGACAGCCUUGGGGAUACCAGUGCUCCAGGAGAAAUAAAUGAGAGGCCGAAAAGGAAGGUGAAAAAUAAAAGUCCUCAAGGGGAGAGAAUGCAACAAGAAAACCAACACACAAGACACUUUUCAACAGCGGGAAGCGGGCGCAGUGCCAGAUGUCACCGAGAUAUCCAAUGAGAUGAGGGACAGAAGAACCAUCUAGAAACAGCAGCAAGAAAGUAGGCGCCUUCCCACAAAGCAUUGUUGCAUUUGAAGAAAGGAAAGGGAUUCAUGUUCAUUUACCCUGCUGUGCCACCUGCCGCCUCCUGGCUGCCUGCUGUGGGGUGGCUGCCACGGGGAAGCUGACUGUGGGCUGCUGGGCAGGGCCGGUGCGCUCUGCCUGGAGGGCUGCCGUCCGAGUGGAAGGAGCCAUGGGCAGUGGGCUCUCGCUGUCCCGUGACGGACCCACAGCCAGGAUGGCGGAGCCAGGAUGUGGAGACAGGUGAGCCCCUGGAAGUCGCCAUGGGCAGUGAAAACUGCUGCGGAAAACAGUUGUGCAGCAGAAAGGAGCAAAGCUGAUAAGAAAAAUGUCAUUCCCUUUCUCGUCAGUUCAUGGUCAGACAACAACAUGAACCUGCUCCCGCAUGGCAAGGACCAGAGAGAGCCCAGCCCCAGCCCUGCGUCUUGCCAAGUGGGUGAACUAAGGCAAAUGAUGUAAGACCCUGAGCUGUUAUCAUUAAUUAUUAAUUAUUAUCAUUUGCAUAAGACCUGUACAGUAGAGAUGGCAUUUCCCAUCUCAGAGCUUGUGUUUGAAAAAAAAUAGCUAUUUUUAAAAAACGAUCAAAGAACCACAUCUGAAAUGAAAGCUCUGAUCCUAGAGCUUUUAGAAGUUUAAACAACCAGCCCAAAGGUCAUAGCCGGGUGGCGGCUGGGCAGUGAGUCGGCUCCGCUCUGAGUAUCCAUCCUGGCGCCGAGCCCCUCCCCCCCAGCCCCCUCCCUCUCACACUGCCCCCCUGCCCUGGGCUCAGCGUGCAAGGCACAGACACAGAAACUGCCCCCCGCCCCCGGCAACUCCCCGGGGCCAUGGCAGCAUCUCUGCCAGCCGGACAGUGAGCUGCAAAAACAGCCCUGAGCAGCCUGGAGCUCUAAGAAGAGACGCACGGCUGAAGGGCCAACGAUACAAGGGACAUGUCUUCUUCCUCUCGCCCAGCCUCUCCCUUGUCAGCGGCAGGUCAUGUAGAAUCUCCCACCAGAAAGCGGCCCAACAGGACUGCGGGCAGAGUCCCAUCGGUGCUCACGUUGUUCCCGGAAGCCACGCUCUCGCCUGGAAGGUCUCCCUGUGCCCUUUACCAGGACGUGGGCUCAGACUCGGACAAAGACAGUCCCAAAGUGGUGGAACCCAAUCUACACAGGUGAUGGGACCUGGUGAGCCAGCAAGGAAAAAAAAUUCCUCCCAAAGACCCUGGACUUGGUCAGAAUUCUUAGAGCCAUGGGGCUCCGCGGACGAAAGGGACUCAACGACGAGCACCCCGGGGUGGGAACUGGAGCCGACACAGCAUGACGGCGGGUGAGGUUUCUCAUAAAAGUGUGUCUGGCAGGCAGGUAGGUGCUCUUGAGGCUCACAGCUGCUAAUGGCAGGGCAGGGAGGGCGUCCUGAGCACUGCGUUCCGAGGUCUGGGCUCUUCUCCCCGUGAUGGUCACUGUAGGUGUCCACUCGCCUGGGCCGCGGGGCUAAGUGUUGUUCCGGGCCUGGCCCUGCGGGUGUUGCUAAAGGAGAUGAGCAUUUGAACGGGUCAACUGAGUAAGACGGACCUCCGGUUCUGCCCGCGUGUCCGUGCGCUGGACGCGGUCUCCCGCCUUCCGAUGCUGGGCGAGUGGCCACUGGAUGACUGUGCAAAAGUAAACGAGGUGACUUCUGACACUCAAUCCGGGUGGCUGCGUGGGAGUGCUCGCUGCACACUUGUUUGCAUUUUCUGUAUGUGUAACUGCUUUUGUAAGGUGUUAGAAAAAAUCGCAUCUUUAUGCAACAGCAACCAAUGAAAAACUUAACAAGAUACCAUAGGCAAAGGCAUUGAAAAACAUCAAAUACCCAGGAAUAAGUCAAACAAAAUAUAUGCAAUGCCUCUACAGAAAAAACUGCAAAGCGUUGUUGUUAUAAAGACUGAUUUAUCGUAUCCGUGGACCAGAAGAUGAAAUAUUGUAAACAUGUCACCGUUUUCCUCCAGGCGAUCUAUCGCAGCCAUGAAAUCCCCCCGAACCCCAGCAGGUGUGGGAACGUGUGUGGACGUUGACAAGUUGAUUCUAAAAUUUACUGGGAAAUACAGAAGGUCAGGAGCGGGGAAGGCAGCCUUGAUGGGGAAAGCGGGGCGGAGGCGUGGCGCUGCCCGUGGUCAAGGCCCAGGACACAGCUCACAAUAAAGAUAACGCAACGUGAUAAAGACGGGCAGCCGGCCGACUGGGGAGCAGAGAGCCCAGAAACAGACCCCGGGAGCACAGCCACCAGGGCGGGGUCAGUGCCGACCCUCACAGAAACAUGUCAUCCUGGCUCCGACCUCACCGCACAGAACAAGAUCAGUUCCAGAUGUCCCGUGGAGGGGCAUGGAGGGCGAAACCAUGAAUCUCAUAGGAGAACCCAGAUGAGAACAUCUUCAAGAUUUAUGGAGGCAAAUAUUUCUUACACGGGACACGCACACAAAUACAACAAAUUGGACCACAUUGACUUAAGACAAUCUAUUGCUAGGGGUUGAGAAGCACGGAUUGGUAAUUACACCAUAGUCCCGGGGAUGCGCAGCACAGCACAGGGAAUAUGGCCAAUAGCCGUGUAAUAAUGGCGUGUGGUGCCAGGCGGGUACUUGACAUGUCGGGGGACCACUUUGUGACGCAGGUGAUUGUCUCAGCUCCGUGCUGUGCACCGGACACGCUUACAAAAUAAUAUCGAGUGUCAACUGUAAUUGAAAAGUAAAAUUUAAAAAAAGAAAAUCUAUUCUUCGAGGUGCCAUUAGGGGAAUGACACAGAAGCUGCAGAGAAGAGAUGCUUGUAUCACAUAUUUCCAACGGAGAGCUCGCGUCCACAACAUACGGAGAACUGCAGUUCAGCACACGGCUCUCCUCGCCAGCGCGAACCCACACCACCCGGUCCCAGGGCGGGGACACACGCCCGGGAACCUCUGCUCUCAGGACAUCCUGCUCCGUCUCGGGUCGGGCGGCGAGCACCUGCACCCACGGGCCUCAGUUUAAAUCCCCAGAAGGAGAGUUCUGAGCAACAGUUCAAAUGAAACAGGGAGAUUCUUCAGGAGUUCACUAGCCUCCGGGAAGCUGGUGGCGGCACAGCAAGUGCCCGGUGAGAGGCAGGAGUUCCGUGGGAGGGAGGUGGGAAGGAAACCUCGGUGUAUUCCCACCAGAGGACCUGUAGGGAUACCUUUCAUCUUGCUCAGUCCAUUCAUUUUCUCUUUCCCACUGUCGCCUCACGGACCAUUGGUUGCUUGUGAGCUGCCCACGGGCAAGGCCUGUGUUAGCGCUACGGCUCUUCCCCGGGGUCCGCGAUGACACACCACGCAUGUGGGCACUGAACGCCGUUUUUUAUGACAAUGAAAUACGGUUUGAACCACUCUCACAAGUUAAUAGGCACGGGCAUUAUAUAAUUGCGAAAUUGCCCACACGCCACAGAAAAGAAAUAUCAUUCUGAAGACGAUAUGGCAUGAUGCUUGUGGAGUACUUAAUCCAGAAGACACACCCCGUGGCCAAGUACUGUUUAUGAAAACCUCAUGUUGUGUUUCCUGGUGUGUGUGUGUGUGUGUGUGUGUGUGUGUGUGAAUGCAUCUGUGUUUUGGAACUUAUAUGCUUGCAUUUUUUUUAUGGUUUUGAAAAAUAAAUAGAGUGGGGUGGGAACAGAAUCAGGGACCUGUCUCACCCUGAAGUGACUGGCGGCUGAAAACCACAUUUUUAUACAAAUAUUAUUACAGAAACUUGCUGUGUUUGUUCAAUAGGAACAAUAUUUGAAUUUCGUCAUCCCAAGUGACUACUGUGCUCCCAGGAGAAAUUCAAUGACUUCUCAGUUAGGAGACAGACUUGGAAGCUAAUCCGAGAUGCUGGGGUUCUCUCCCCGACCAGCAGCGGGUGUGAGGUGUAAGGUGUGAGGUGGGGGGGGAGGGGAUUGCUCAGCCUCUCUGAGUUGUACUUUCUUUGUCAGGAAGAAAUAAACGUUCACUCUGAAGAGUGAAAUACUCUCCUGUGUGACAAACACUUUCACCGAAUAGUACACCAUGUCUGGACCUCAGUACACAAAUCCAACUGUUCCCCAAAUGUUUACCAACCUGCAGAUAGGAUUUAAAAAUCAAGGUCCAAUGGCUCAAUAUCUCACAUGGGAUCUCAGCUACCAACACCUCCCUACUCACCUCCACCCAACUAACUCAGGGAGGCUGCACGGGCAUCCAACUCUCAGGACCAAGCAUGUUCCACCCGGAUGCCAGCCUUCACAUGCCCAUGGCCACCUCCAUGGUUGCCCUGGGCUUCGCUUACGCCCCAUCUCCCUGGGUGUCACAGGUCCACUGGCCCUCAGCGCCUGUCCCUCUGAAAGAAGGUGGCCCCACCCGGGACAUUUCCCCAGGACUUCCAACGGGCACUCUCAAUACACCCAACCCUCUACACUAGUGGUUCUCAACCUUCCUGAUGCUGCGACCCUUUAAUACAGCUCCUCAUGUUGUGGUGACCCCCAACCAUAACAUUAUUUUCGUU